AUAAUAUGACAUUCAUCAUUAUAUCACACGCAUACAAAAGUCAAUUAGAUACUAUAAACGUCUCUUCGUAUUUAUGACCAAACUAGAAAAUUUCUUUGAUGAAAGGCUUUCUCUUCAGUUUCUUGCACACUGACAAAGAGUACAUCUGACGGGCAUACGGGAAAAUGCACGUGAUUCUGUCUCUUGGGAAAAAGCAAAGGAGUCGGUGCCAAUUACAAAUGAUAUAUAACAAGAUGCACUUCGUCUGUCAUAAAAAUCUCGAAGUGAAAUAUAUGGCGUGCAGGGCAAAUGAUGUUGAAGAGCAUUGCAUCCUCGAAACUGUAAAAUAGUGGCUUAAAAAAAAUUAAAAAAAUGUUUUUUUUCAUAUUUUAGAAUGUAAAAAAAUAUAAACAGCUUAACAUUUAAUGUGAUUUUUUUUCCUGGAAAAAAGAUUCAAUCAUCAUAAAUCGUUAAGCUGUAUGCAAGUGAAACAACGAUCAGAAGGCCCCGACUGCUUUCUCGAGGAAGGGGAGUUAUAGAUAUUUUAUAAUCUAUCCUUUGUGCAACCUUUGUAAGCGUAAUGUUGUACACUUUAAUGUUCCAUAAUGUUCCGUCGCUCUUCAUCUUCCGCCCCAGGACCCAUAAUUGAUUUAACAUCAUUACACGAUUGGUUUGCGAAUUACAGAAGAAAACAUGCCGUUUUCAUAUUAUUUUAAUAUAGAUGUGACGGUUAAUACUGUUUUAUAUUCCUUUGAAUGGCUCUGAUGCUGGUGGGAGAUGAACACAUCUUAAGUUUUAUUAGACGUAACUGUCAGUCAAAAUAAUUGAAAAAUUUGUUGCUUUUCAGAUAGUAAGUGCCUGUUCUAGGACCCCUCGGUUGAAGCUCUCAGUAGAACACUUGGCUUCAAAGUCUUCCUAACCCAACCUAGUGGGUUCUUAAAUACUGGAGAAUUCUUGACUAAAUUAAAGAACAGACAAACGCUGUCUCGAUUUAUCAGCUCUACGUGUAAUUUCUUUUCAAACUGCGUUUUAAGUAUUAUUUCUGUUUGCAAGAAAACUAACAUUAUAUAUCUUAUUCUUAGUGUUCUCUUCAUACAAGGUUUAGAGGAGAUUUUCUCCUCCUGUUUUGUACAUCAAAGACCGAGGAAAAUCAAACAUUGAGCAAUGGCAACAACAAUGCAAAUUAUGUUGUUGUUUAAGUCUUGGCUUAUAAAUAGAAUAUAUAUAUACAUUUGUCAGAAUUUGGGUGGCGUGCUUGGUUUUGCUUUUACAUUGCAAAAUGGCGUCACGAUGAUCAUUUCGAGGUUCGUCCUGAAUAUUUUGUCUCUUUUUCUUUAUUUAUCAUUUUAGGACCUUGAUGUAUCAGGUUAGUUUACCUGAAAACAAGAAUAAACAAACGAGAGAAAAAAAACCCAUGUUUUUUGGUGAUAAAGGUCGUUCCAUCAUUUAUAAAGAUAUACAUCAGAAUGUGUGUAUUCCUUCUUCCAUCACUUUUGACGCAUUGCAUUAUUUUUUAGGACAAGUUUUCUAUGAAACAGACAUGUGAUUUAUGUAAAUUUUUUGAAUUGUUUUUAUGGUUGGGGAAGGUUUUGGAAAUCGACGUCAACUUGAUCCGGGUUUAAAACCUCUUAUAAGGAUCUGUCAAUCAUUUGUUCGUGAAGUUGAUCGAUGCAGUGGAAUUCGAUAGGAGCAAACGAAGAGUGUACAAAAAUGUUUUUAAAAGUUCAUACAACCUUAUGGAAUAGUGACUUUAUUAAAAACUCAUGCUCCGAACUUUUUUGAAUGUUUGAAUCCAUAACAACAUUUAGCAGGAAUGGAAAAAAACCCGAAAACCAACAUCAGAUUCUUUUAAAACCAAAGUUUAGAAUUUAAAUGACAACAGCGAAGAAGACCAAAUAUUUACAGCUCGCCUAGCGCUUAUGUUAAAGUGAGGUAAGGUCAAUGCAUGGCUCUGAAGCAAUUUUGUGAUUGUACUUUAUCAUAGAAGCUCUUUGAGGUGACAACUUGAUUGAGGUGUAUACUCCUGUUUAAAACCGUGUAGACUGAUUCAAUUUCUGAGUAAAUACAGGAACCAUUAGGAACAAGGGUUCGUAUUAAUAUUAAAGGGUUUGAUUAGACCGAUAAGGUAUGCAGCGCGACACCAACCCGAUUCUAGGUGGGAAGGCAAACAAGAGAAUUAGUCCGAUUUAUCUACGUUUGAUAUUUGAUCUGUUAAAAUGUACGGGUUAUCUAAUGAAGUUUUUACCAAAACAGCAAAAGUAUGGCUGAAGAUACAAGUUUGGAUCAAAAUAGCCGCAUUCCUCGGCCGACAAGAAGGGGGGCAAAACAUCAUGCCAGGCUUUCCUUUGAUACAAUGCCCAAGUCUUCACAGCUGUCGACUUUUCAAAUCCCACUUGACAAAAAUCACACUGUUUAAAGCGAAAUGUGACGAAGUAUCUUUAGCCCGAUAUUUUUACAUAUAUUAAACCACAUUUAUAUUUU
rnacentral:sRNA from 1 species